rnacentral:rRNA from 1 species
AAGCGGAGGAAAAGAAAAUAACAAUGAUUCCCCCAGUAACGGCGAAGUGAAGAGGGGAAGAAGCCCAAAUUUGGAAUCUGGCGUCUUUCAGGCGUCCGAAGUUGUAAUCUGGAGAGGCCAUAUUCGUGUCGGACCGUAGCAAAGUCUGCUAUUAUGCAGCGCCAGAGAGGGUGUUAGCCCCGUUUGUACUAUGGAUCCCCGAUGCUUAGAGUAGGUCUUCAAAGAGUCGAGUUGUUUGGGAAUGCAGCUCUAAGAGGGUGGUAAAUUCCAUCUAAGGCUAAAUAACGGCGAGAGACCGAUAGCGCACAAGUACCGUGAGGGACAGAUGAAAAGCACUUUGGAAAGAGGGUGAAAAAGUACGUGAAAUCACUGAAAGGGAAGCGCUUGAGGUUAGACGUGCAUUGUAUGAUUCAGCCAAUCUUUGGAGAGGUGUAUUUCGUACUAUUGCAGGCCAGCGUCAGUUUUGUGUGCUGGAUAAGGGUAUAGGGAAUGUAGCAGUAGCUUCGGCUGCUGUAUUAUAGACCUUUACUGGAUACAGCAUGCGGGACUGAGGAACGCAGCGUGCCUUUAUGGCCAAUCCUGCGGGAUUGUGUACGCUUAGGAUGCUGGCAUUAAUAGCCUUAAACGACCCGUCUUGAAACACGGACCAAGGAGUCUAACAUGCUUGCAAGUAUGUGGGUGUCAAGCCCUUGUGCGUAAUGAAAGUAAACGUAGGUGGGAGCCCUUCGCGGGGUGCACCAUCGACCGGCUUGAAACUACGUGUGAAAAGUCUGAGUAGGAGCAAGUAUGUCGGGACCCGAAAGAUGGUGAACUAUGCCUGAAUAGGGUGAAGCCAGAGGAAACUCUGGUGGAGGCUCGUAGCGGUUCUGACGUGCAAAUCGAUCGUCGAAUUUGGGUAUAGGGGCGAAAGACUAAUC